GAUGAAGAACGAAGCGAAAUGCGAUAAGUAAUGUGAAUUGCAGAAUUCAGUGAAUCAUCGAAUCUUUGAACGCACAUUGCGCCCGCCAGUAUUCUGGCGGGCAUGCCUGUUCGAGCGUCAUUUCAACCAUCAAGCCCUGCUUGCGUUGGGGUCCUGCGGCUGCCCGCAGGCCCUGAAAACCAGUGGCGGGCUCGCUAGUCACACCGAGCGCAGUAAUACAUCUCGCUUUGGGCGUGCGGCGGGUUCUUGCCGUUAAACACCCCCUUUUUACCAAGGUUGACCUCGGAUCAGGCAGGAAUACCCGCUGAACUUAAGCAUAUCAAUAAGCGGAGGA
rnacentral:misc_RNA from 1 species